rfam:Triticum aestivum genome assembly, contig: Triticum_aestivum_CS42_TGACv1_scaffold_032389_1BL
GUGAUACUCCCUCCGUCCGAAAAUACUUGUCGGAGAAGUGAAUGUAUUUAGAUGUAUUUUAGUUUUAGAUGCAUCUAUUUAUAUCCAUUUCUACGACAAAUAUUUUCGGACGGAGAGAGUAUUAA